rnacentral:rRNA from 1 species
UGAGGAAUUUUGCGCAAUGGGAGCAAUCCUGACGCAGCAACGCCGCGUGGGUGAUGAAGGCCUUCGGGUCGUAAAGCCCUGUCAGGUGGGAAGAAUGUCCCGGGACUGAACAGGUUCCGGGAGUGACGGUACCACCAGAGGAAGCACCGGCUAACUCCGUGCCAGCAGCCGCGGUAAUACGGAGGGUGCAAGCGUUAUUCGGAAUUACUGGGCGUAAAGCGCGUGUAGGCGGUCCCGCAAGUCUGAUGUGAAAGCCCCGGGCUUAACCCGGGAAGUGCAUUGGAAACGGUGGGACUGGAGUACGGGAGAGGAUGGGGGAAUGCCCGGUGUAGAGGUGAAAUUCGUAGAGAUCGGGAGGAAUAUCAGUGGCGAAGGCGCCCAUCUGGACGGUAACUGACGCUGAGACGCGAAAGCGUGGGGAGCAAACA